rnacentral:lncRNA from 1 species
GGCUUGUAGCCGCUAUUGAGAUCUGAGCUGCCCCCCCUGCAUUUUAAGAAUCCAAGACUGAAUUCACCUCCAAGACCAAGCCACCUGAGAAGCUGGGAUAUACAGACAUGGUGUGGCUUGCAUUUGUUGUUCUUCUUCUUAAUGAAGAACUAGAGUGAACCUGUCUUUUCCUAGCCAGGAAGUAAGUUUUCCAGCUGGUGAAUUUAAUUGCUCUAUCUUGGAUAAUGGAAAGGUGUCCAGAGAGUGUGACAGCCAUAGUUUUUGAUACACAUAGCUCAGACCUACUGGACCUGACAGUUUCAAUCCUCUAGGAUUAACAGAAGAAGAAGCAACAGAAGUGGCAGGGAGAGUAGACGCUGGGGCAUCAAUUGCUGCAGAGAGGAAGGUGUGGUGGCAAACAUGUUUGCUCUGGGUUUAAAUCCCAGCCCUGCAACUUUCCACUGGGCAACUUCAGGCAAAUUGUUUAAUCUCCCUGAGCCUUGAUUCCUUUAUCUCUUGUGAGGAUCAAGCAGAAGCCCAAGCAAGCGCAUAGCUUCAUCUAUCUCAAAAGAAGCAAGCAGAGAGGCUAAGAGAGAAGUCAGGCUAUGAUGACAGGCUGUUGGUCAACUGAUGAAUUAUUGGAAGUCUAUUACUGCAGGAACCAGGGGCCUAUUGUUUUAUGGAUACAAUUCAGGGGACCCAUGUAUUUGGAUGCAGAAAAUCAUCAUUUUAUUUUCAUAACCUCCUUCAUUUAUGGAUGCAGGAAUCAAAAACAUUUGUUAUCAAUACUUAUGACUAUGCUACUCAGAGAAAUCAGAGAUUUUUAAAAUUACAUAUUAAAGUUAUAUAUAUCCAA